ACCCCGGAGCAAAGCAGAGAGCCGUAUUUUUUCAACCCUUCUCUUCUCCUUUUCCUUCCAAUGAGAUUGCUCAAUGCGAAUCACAUAAGAAUUUUAAAUCGCUAAAUUGAAUACAUCGACACUUUCCCCCCUCCUCUGUUUUGACUGAGGUGCGCCCAUAUACAGUACGUUAUGGACUGAUCCACUCGCAGAAGAUAAAGGAGACAUGGGCUGGAGAGGUAGAGGAGCUGACGUCAACUCGUCAUGGCAGAACGCAAUGCAGCGCGCUAGACGAGAGGGAACACUUAAGAAUUCGCUGCUUCAUGUCCACAAAUCAUAUCUCUACUUUGGACGAAGGAAAUCAUUUCCAAUAUGUACUGAUAAGGAAGAGAAGUUUCCAUCUUUUCACACCGGCUCGGACAAGAAGCGACACACGCUGUCAUUCACUUUGUCAAGUGUGCCGUAACUUCCUCCAAAGUUCCAUGAGUAGCCUAAGCCGUAGCAUUAUCUAUAUUGUAAGUAUGUAAUGCUUUCAUGACCAUGACAUACACAUUUGCUGGGAACUUCUGUGCGCUAUUUCACGCAAUAUUGUGAUAUUUUUCUGCAUUGUGUUAGUCGUGUGUUUCGUUAUUCUCUUUACUUGAACGUAUUUUCUAAUACUGUUUAUGUCGCUUUUUCAAAUGAUACCACAAAACCUUUUCGUGAUAUACAUAUUUCUUUUAAUUAUGUACAUCAUUUUCUGCGUUUGGAGAUUGGACCAUUUAUCUUUUAUUAAAUUAUUUUUUUAAGCUAGGAUGUGUGAUUAUCCUGGGCGAUAAAGCUAUGAAGUUAUAAUGAAUCUAACAUAACUGUAAAAUGAUCACGAAUGUUUCAAAUUCAGGGUACAGUAAACAUUUCAAACGACA